GGCUGGUCCAAGUGCAGUGGUGUUUACAACUAAUUGAUCACAACCAGUUACAGAUUCCCCUGUUCCUUCUCCAACCCCACUGCUUUGCUUGACCAACCUUUA
rnacentral:Y_RNA from 1 species